rnacentral:rRNA from 1 species
GACGUAGGGGGCCAGCGUUGUUCGGAAUUACUGGGUGUAAAGGGUUCGUAGGCGGUGCGGCAAGUUGGGAGUGAAAUCUCUGGGCUUAACCCAGAGGCUGCUUCCAAAACUGCUGUGCUUGAGUGUGGGAGAGGCGCGUGGAAUUCCCGGUGUAGCGGUGAAAUGCGCAGAUAUCGGGAAGAACACCCGUGGCGAAGGCGGUUCUCUGGGACGGUACUGACGCUGAGACGCGAAAGCGUGGGGAGCGAACAGG